GACGAACGCUGGCGGCGUGCUUAACACAUGCAAGUCGAACGGAAAGGCCCUGCUUUUGUGGGGUGCUCGAGUGGCGAACGGGUGAGUAACACGUGAGUAACCUGCCCUUGACUUUGGGAUAACUUCAGGAAACUGGGGCUAAUACAGGAUAGGAGCUCCUGCUGCAUGGUGGGGGUCGGAAAGUUUCGGCGGUUGGGGAUGGACUCGCGGCUUAUCAGCUUGUUGGUGGGGUAGUGGCUUACCAAGGCUUUGACGGGUAGCCGGCCUGGGAGGGUGACCGGCCACAUUGGGACUGAGAUACGGCCCAGACUCCUACGGGAGGCAGCAGUGGGGAAUAUUGCACAAUGGGCGGAAGCCUGAUGCAGCAACGCCGCGUGCGGGAUGGCGGCCUUCGGGUUGUAAACCGCUUUCGCCUGUGACGAAGCGUGAGUGACGGUAAUGGGUAAAGAAGCACCGGCUAACUACGUG
rnacentral:rRNA from 1 species